AAAAAAAAAAAAAAAAAAAAAAAAAAAAAAAAAAUGAAAAAAAAAAAAAAAAAUAGUAAUAUAUAAAACAAAACAACAGGAACAGAUCAAACAAGAGAAAACAAAAACAAGCAUGCAUCUGUGAAUCUAAAGCACCACAUACCAUACUUUCCUUUUCGCUACAGAACAAAGUCGCCUGGUUAUCUUUCACCAACGGUAGGUUAAGAACCCCAAACGGACUGUGCUUAAAGACACAUAAAAAUUAUUUAGUAGCUAGUACAUGCUCUCCAGAUUUAAAUGAAAAAUCAGAAUUAUGGAAAAUCGACCAACAAAAAAGAUUAACAAAUGAAAUCAAUAAGUGUGCCCAGAUAGCAGGAUAUAAACUCUUUGCUUUUACAUGUAACGAUUUAUCUAGUACUGAGUUUCAAUUAAAACAGUUUACUUUAGAAGAAUUAAAUAUAAUGAAAACAAAAUACGCACAAAAACAAUUACAGAAAAUUAAUGUAAAAGAUAUUGAACAGAAUAUACAUAAAUCGGAUACACUUAUUAAUAACUACAAUGACAUAAAAAAAGAAAUAGAUAAAAUUAUAGAAACUGAAAAAGAAAUGCAACAAGAAAAAAUAAAAAUUAUGAAUUUAAUGAAUGAUGUCAAAUCUUUGAUAAACACAUCUGCCUCUUUAAAUGAAUAUGGAACAGGUGUUUUUAUGAAUAUAUACGAUAAUAAUAGUUAUAAUAAUAAUAAUAAUAUAAAUAAUAAAAAAAGUAUAAUAACACUACCAUUAGAAAAUUUAGAAAUCAAUCAAAAAUUGUUAAACGUAUUAGGAAUAAAUAAUAAUAAAGUUAAAAUUGUCAUUCAAGGAUUUCUUAAUAUACCCGAAACUAAUAAAUAUACAUUUAUAGCUAAAAAUAUCAGUGGCACAUUAAUCAUAAAAUUAGAUAAUAUCGAAAUUAUAUCAAAUAAAGCGGAAAACAUUAAUACAACCAUUGCUAGCCCUCUUAUAUAUUUACAACAAAAUAGAUUUAUAUCAAUAUAUAUCGAAAUUACAUCAAACGGAAGUUCAUUUCUUUCUUCGGAAUCAGAAACACCAUCUUUUAGUUUAUUCUGGAGUAGUAAAAAUUUACCUGAACACUUAAUUAACUCUUUAUAUUUAUUUACCACUGCAUAUGAUAACGUUUGUUAUGCUCCAACGUAUAAACAAAUAUACUGCUCUACAACGUUUGAAAGUAUUAAGGUGCAAGAACAACCGUUUCAUUUUUUGUGUCCAUCUGAUUGUUCACAUAAGAGCCUCACGACUGAAUCCAGUACAGAUAGCGAAUCGAGUCAAGUAACUCAAAACAACUACUAUGAUAUAAGCAGAAGCAUUUGCAGUGCAGCCAUCGAUGCAGGAUUCUUAUCAAGUGACUCCGAAAGUGUUAUAAAAGUAAUGAUUACAAAAAAAAUGUCAAAUUUUAACAAAAACAAUCCUAAUGAAUUAUUUGGUGUGAUACUACCAACGAGUAUGUACGAGAACACAUUCAGAGGCAUCACAGAUAUCAAAUUAGUUGAUAUGGAUGACUUUUUUAUUAACUAUGAAAUAAAUAAAAAAUUAUAUCAAGGUUAUAAAGGUAUAGUUACUGAUGAUAAACAUUCUUUGUUAACUAAAACAGACUUAUCCAAAAAUUAUAUAUAUGAUAUUGACAUAAACUGUGAUACUGAGAUAAAAGAACAAAAUGAUGAAAUUAAUUCAGGUUCUUUUAUAAUAAAAAGAAUACAACCAACUGAUUUGAAAAAAAAUAAAAAUACCAAUAUAGUGGUAGAUGUGUUUGCAGUUUUUGAAAAGUAUACCACUAAUGGUAGUAAUCAUAGUAGUAGUGCAGAUGACUCAAAAAUAAAAAAAAAUAUAUCUUUACCUAUUCAUUUAGCCAAAUGGACAAAAAAAAGUUGUAAAAACAUUCAUUUAUACAUAAAAUAUGAAAACCCAAACAACACUAUGAUGUAUCCAUCCGAUUUGGUAUCUUGUGAUAGUACGUUUGAAAAUAUUUCAUCAUUAUCUAAUAGCGAAACAGUUGUUGUACGUUGUUUACCAAAUUGUGCUAAAGGUAUGAACGUGUUAGGUUCUUAUAUAUAUGCUCCAAACUCUCCUGUCUGUAAAUCAGCUAUACACUCUGGUGUUAUAACAAACAUGGGCGGAUUAAUACAAAUACAAAAACUUCCUAACAUAACACAAACAUUUAAUCAUACUAUGUUUAUAACUAAAAAUAACAUUAAAGCAAUCAUAGGUGACCAUAAAAAUAAAACUUCUUAUUAUAUUACAAAACCUAAUGGCUUAACAUGUACUUUUCCUAUAACAAUUUAUAAUAAAAAUGAAACAUUACCAUUUGUAUCUGAUAUAAAUGAUAAUAUAGAUAAUGAAUCUAGUGAUAACUCGCCCUCUUCUUUUAUCCAAGUUAACUCAACAAUAUAUGAUGUUGAUGCUGCUUCUGCCUCGCCUCCAGCUGUUUUAGUGCAUGUAAAUCAUGCAGUGUUACAAAACCAACUACAUAAUAUUUUUAAUUGGUAUAAUACAAAUAAUUAUAAAACUAACCUUUUACAAACAAUGAGUAUUAAUCAAGAACGUCAUUCUGCCGACGAUGAAAACUUAAACAAUAGUCACGCGCAGUCCAACUUAGAUCAAAAAACAAAGCAAGAUCCAAAUUUAACAAAUGAAUUUCGCAAUUUAUACCAAGACUAUAAAAACAAUAACCAAAAAAUAUACGAAAAUUUAAUAGAGAAACAUGAGAGUAAUAUUAUGCCAAAUAUACUUACAAAAAAAAUAGACAUAACAUAUCAACAUAAUGUUUUACAAAAAAUAAAAACAGAACAAGACAUGUUAGAUAGUUUUUUAAAACAAAUGGAAGCAGAGAGUUUAGGGUUACUAAAACAAUUUGAUUUAAUCACUACUGAAAAAAAAUUUACUAUUAACAAAUUAGAAAAUGCAUUAAUAAACGUAAAACCAAUGACAAUUGAAACUUUUCAAGAAAAAUAUGAAUCAAUAAAUAUAAAUGAUAAUUAUAUAAUUACUGAUAGUGAUGAUAUACUCAAAACAUCCAACUGGAAAAUAGAAAAAUAUAAAAAUGGAUUAUUAUUUUCAUCAAUAACAAAUGGUAACAUUAUACAAUCUAAUAAAAAUAUAUAUGCUUCUUAUAUAUUAAAUAGAGAAAUAAAAUUAUGGAAAGGUUUUAUAUCGCUAGAUGUACAAUUACCAUAUAAAGGAAAUUUUGGUAUCAUUUUUAUGUAUAAAGAUAGUAAUAACUAUGCUAAUUUUAUAAUCAAUAAAGAAGAACAUUUUUUUAUCGAAGUAAAUGAUGGUAAAAAAACGGAACCCAUUAAUUUAAAUAAAAUUAAUACCUUAUCCAACCCGAUUGGAAAUUGGAUACAAAUCUUUCUUGUUUUCAGCUCAUCUGAUGUUUAUGUAUAUGUAAAUAAAAAACUUGUGAAUAAAUAUAAAACAAAAAAUGAUACACCAGGAGCAAUAGGAUUAGGAAUAAAUCAUUGUAAAGAAAAAAUAUAUAUAGAUAAAUUUGUAAUGGGAUCUUUAGAUCAAGCCAAAUAUUACAAAUAUGCAAGUCCUUAUAAUUUGGCUUCGGAUGUAAAUUACAACUUCGAAAAGGGUAGUACAAUUUUUAAUGUCGAUAAAAACGAACAACCGAAUAAAGUAGAACAAAAUGGCGAAAGAGCGAAAGAUGUUCAACCUACUAUUACUACUACUACUACUACUACUAAUACUACUGCUACUAAUACUACUGCUACUAAUACUACUACUAAUAAUAAUACUAAUACUGCCAAAUGUCAACCAUUUUACGAACUGUUUGAUACCUUAUUACAUACCAACUGGAUUGAACCACCUAAUUCUACUUGGAAAAUCUACAGUAGUUUUAGU
ensembl:lncRNA